ACAUGAAGUCGAACGGUAACAGGGAGCUUGUCGCUUGACGAGUGGCGAACGGGUGAGUAAUAUAUCGGAACGUACCCAAGAGUGGGGGAUAACGUAGCGAAAGUUACGCUAAUACCGCAUACGAUCUAUGGAUGAAAGCAGGGGAUCUUCGGACCUUGUGCUCCUGGAGCGGCCGAUAUCUGAUUAGCUAGUUGGUGAGGUAAGGGCUCACCAAGGCGACGAUCAGUAGCUGGUCUGAGAGGACGACCAGCCACACUGGAACUGAGACACGGUCCAGACUCCUACGGGAGGCAGCAGUGGGGAAUUUUGGACAAUGGGCGCAAGCCUGAUCCAGCAAUGCCGCGUGAGUGAAGAAGGCCUUCGGGUUGUAAAGCUCUUUUGUCAGGGAAGAAACGGUAGGGGCUAAUAUCCUUUGCUAAUGACGGUACCUGAAGAAUAAGCACCGGCUAACUACGUGCCAGCAGCCGC
rnacentral:rRNA from 1 species